rnacentral:rRNA from 1 species
CACGUAGGGGGCGAGCGUUGUCCGGAUUUAUUGGGCGUAAAGAGCUCGUAGGCGGCUCGGUAAGUCAGGUGUGAAAACUCUAGGCUCAACCUAGAGACGCCACCUGAUACUGCUGUGGCUAGAGUCCGGUAGGGGAGCAUGGAAUUCCUGGUGUAGCGGUGAAAUGCGCAGAUAUCAGGAGGAACACCAGUGGCGAAGGCGGUGCUCUGGGCCGGAACUGACGCUGAGGAGCGAAAGCGUGGGGAGCAAACAAG